AUUACCAGCCAUGUCACCCCGAACGUGCCUGAUCUCGUCUGAUCUCGGAAGCUAAGCAGGGUCGAGCCUAGUUAGUACUUGGAUGGGAGACCACGUAGGAAGACCAGGUGCUGCAGGCA
rnacentral:rRNA from 1 species